UACGAAGGGUCCAAGCGUUAUCCGGAUUUAUUGGGUUUAAAGGGUGCGUAGGCGGCUUAUUAAGUCAGUGGUGAAAGACUUCAGCUUAACUGAAGAACUGCCAUUGAUACUGAUGAGCUUGAAUGUAGUUGAGGUGGGCGGAAUGUGUCAUGUAGCGGUGAAAUGCUUAGAUAUGACACAGAACACCGAUUGCGAAGGCAGCUCGCUAAACUAUGAUUGACGCUGAUGCACGAAAGCGUGGGGAGCAAACAGG
rnacentral:rRNA from 1 species